rnacentral:rRNA from 1 species
CCUACGGGAGGCAGCAGUGAGGAAUAUUGGUCAAUGGACGAGAGUCUGAACCAGCCAAGUAGCGUGAAGGAUGACUGCCCUAUGGGUUGUAAACUUCUUUUAUAUGGGAAUAAAACGUUCCACGUGUGGGAUUUUGUAUGUACCAUAUGAAUAAGGAUCGGCUAACUCCGUGCCAGCAGCCGCGGUAAUACGGAGGAUCCGAGCGUUAUCCGGAUUUAUUGGGUUUAAAGGGAGCGUAGGUGGAUUGUUAAGUCAGUUGUGAAAGUUUGCGGCUCAACCGUAAAAUUGCAGUUGAAACUGGCAGUCUUGAGUACAGUAGAGGUGGGCGGAAUUCGUGGUGUAGCGGUGAAAUGCGUAGAUAUCACGAAGAACUCCAAUUGCGAAGGCAGUUCACUGGACUGCAACUGACACUGAGGCUCGAAAGUGUGGGUAUCAAACAGGAUUAGAUACCCGAGUAGUC